rnacentral:rRNA from 1 species
ACGCUCGACACCUACGGGCAGCAGUGGGGAAUAUUGCACAAUGGGGGAAACCCUGAUGCAGCGACGCCGCGUGAGCGAAGAAGUAUUUCGGUAUGUAAAGCUCUAUCAGCAGGGAAGAAACUGACGGUACCUGACUAAGAAGCACCGGCUAAAUACGUGCCAGCAGCCGCGGUAAUCUGAGGCGGCUGGACAAGGC